ACAUGCAAGUCGAAACGGUAACAGGUCUUCGGAUGCUGACGAGUGGCGAACGGGUGAGUAAUACAUCGGAACGUGCCCGAGAGUGGGGGAUAACGAAGCGAAAGCUUUGCUAAUACCGCAUACGAUCUCAGGAUGAAAGCAGGGGACCGCAAGGCCUUGCGCUCACGGAGCGGCCGAUGGCAGAUUAGGUAGUUGGUGGGAUAAAAGCUUACCAAGCCGACGAUCUGUAGCUGGUCUGAGAGGACGACCAGCCACACUGGGACUGAGACACGGCCCAGACUCCUACGGGAGGCAGCAGUGGGGAAUUUUGGACAAUGGGCGCAAGCCUGAUCCAGCCAUGCCGCGUGCAGGAUGAAGGCCUUCGGGUUGUAAACUGCUUUUGUACGGAACGAAAAGACUCUGGUUAAUACCUGGGGUCCAUGACGGUACCGUAAGAAUAAGCACCGGCUAACUACGUGCCAGCAGCCGCGGUAAUACGUAGGGUGCGAGCGUUAAUCGGAAUUACUGGGCGUAAAGCGUGCGCAGGCGGUUAUGUAAGACAGAUGUGAAAUCCCCGGGCUCAACCUGGGAACUGCAUUUGUGACUGCAUAGCUAGAGUACGGCAGAGGGGGAUGGAAUUCCGCGUGUAGCAGUGAAUGCGUAGAUAUGCGGAGGACACCGAUGGCGAAGGCA
rnacentral:rRNA from 1 species